rnacentral:ncRNA from 1 species
UAAAACACUAUGAAAAGAAAAGUAGGUUUAUAUUCGUCUAUAAAAGAGAACCCAGUUAAUUGCUGAAAAUGGGUUAGACAAAUUGAACUGAAGAUGGUCUUUGAGUGGAGUUAGCGAAUCACUUAUUAAAGUGUUAGCUUUCUACGGGAGCACCCGUUACAGUGUCACAGUAUAAAAAGACAACUUAUUGUCUGACGUACUGGAUAAGGUAAGUAUAGCAAUAUACUUAUAAAUUAAGGUGGUAACACGAAGCAGACAACUGACUUUCGUCCUUACA